rnacentral:rRNA from 1 species
UACCAGCACCCCGAGUGGUCGGGACGAUUAUUGGGCCUAAAGCAUCCGUAGCCGGUCCUGCAAGUCUUCCGUUAAAUCCAGCUGCUCAACAGAUGGGCUGCGGGGGAUACUACAGGGCUAGGAGGCGGGAGAGGCAAGCGGUACUUUAUGGGUAGGGGUAAAAAUCCGUUGAUCCAUAGAAGACCACCAGUGGCGAAGGCGGCUGCCAGAACGCGCUCGACGGUGAGGGAUGAAGCUGGGGGGAGCAAACCGG